GGAUGUGAAGGCGAUCUGGCUGCGACAUCUGUCACCCCACUGAUCACCAGGGUUGAUUCGGCUGAUCUGGCUGGCUAGGCGGAUGUCCCCUUCCUCCCUCACGGCUCCAUGUGAGUCCCUCCCAAAGCUGCGCACUCGGUCGAACAGGAUGGCCUUCCCUGAAUAAAACUAUCAGCAAAUCAUGGAGUUACAUGCUGAGAGUGGGCAGGAGACUUCAAUGAAGAGGUGGAAGGGCCGGAGCUCCAGCCCUCCAGUAAUAUUCUAUAUAUCCAGUAGCACACAAAAUGGUUUUGAUCCUAUAACU
ensembl:misc_RNA 7SK 7SK RNA